rnacentral:lncRNA from 1 species
GAAAAACUAAAAGAAAUUUGUUUUUAGUAUUAUAUUGUGGCUAAUGAAGGAGUUAAAAAGUCCUAGUGUUAUGAGGAUUGCAAAACUUUUAAAUAUCAGAAACUGAAGAAAGCAUUGAUAAUCAGCAGAUAUCAAAAAAGCGCAAAAGUACUGAUUAUACAACUCUUUUAAAGUUUUUAUUUUUCAGUUGAGGAAG